rnacentral:rRNA from 1 species
GAUGAACGCUGGCGGCGUGCCUAACACAUGCAAGUCGAGCGAACUUCUUUGAAGUGAGCGGCGGACGGGUGAGUAACGCGUGGGUAACCUGCCCUAUACAUAUGGAUAACAUACCGAAAGGUAUGCUAAUACAAAAUGACAUAUAUUUGUCGCAUGGCAGAUAUAUCAAAGAUUUAUCGGUAUAGGAUGGACCCGCGUCUGAUUAGCUAGUUGGUAAGGUAACGGCUUACCAAGGCGACGAUCAGUAGCCGACCUGAGAGGGUGAUCGGCCACAUUGGAACUGAGACACGGUCCAAACUCCUACGGGAGGCAGCAGUGGGGAAUAUUGCACAAUGGGCGAAAGCCUGAUGCAGCAACGCCGCGUGAAUGAUGAAGGCCUUCGGGUCGUAAAAUUCUGUUCUAAGGGAAGAUAAUGACGGUACCUUAGAAGCAAGCCCCGGCUAACUACGUGCCAGCCGCCGCCGUAACAC